AUGAGAUUCCAAUUGUGGGGUCUGAUUUCGCUUAGGUGUGGGUAGUUGGAGGAGGAAGAUGCUAUUUGAGACUUGUGCGAUUUGUGCGAUUUGUGGUGUUUCUUGUGUUCAGUACAAGUUUAUGUUGAUUCCGACCGAUGAAUUUUACACGUUUAAAUGAGUUUGAGUGUGUGUUGGGUGGGUGAAGUCCUGUGCGAUUCAAUUGGGAAUGAGAUUGAGAGUAUGUAGAUUGAAGGGGUGGAGAGAUUCGCGAUCGGUUUGAGUGUAUCUCAGCGUUUGCGACGCAUCCUCUCUUCUUGGUCGUAUUGAGGGAAAGAGAUGAGUUAUGAUUAAGCGUCGAACUUUGUCAAUCGCGGACUACAAAGAGAAGGGAAUUCAUAGCUACUUUUUUGCCUCCCAUAGUAUGAUCUACUUGCUGAAGAUAGAUCCUUUAAAUUGAAGAUUUGUUUUUAUUAGUCUUUUUCAUGAUGGAAUCAGACAAUUCAUGAGGCAGUUGGUUUCACUGCGAUGAAUUUAACUCUGGGAAAGGUUCCGAGAUCAGAAAUUCUGGUUGAAAUUUGGGUAAUAAGUCCUUCAGCAGCCGGGUCCAUCGCGAACUUCUUUUUUGCAAUCUGAGUCUUCCUCUUGAAUCAUGAAACCCUAAGUUGGAGGAAUAUCAGAGCCAUUCAUUUUAAAAUUUAAUUAAAACACUGCCGUGUCUGUUUUUUGUUGUUUUUAGUCUCAGAGACUGGAGCCAGAGCUCAACCAUGACGUCAAAUGUAUGGCACAAUGUGGUGUCCGUGCGGUUUACCGGGUUUAUGUCAUACCUUGGGGCGGGGACAGGGUGGUUCGGGCAAGUAGCGGAGGUCAUGAAGGUUUUGAUGAGGAUUUGCCGUCCCAUGAAGAAAGGUCAGACGACGUCUUCACACGUCACACACAAAAUAAAUAUGGCCAGCAUUCGAAUGUCCAUGGAUGAAGUAGCGAAGACAUACAAAAUUACCUCCGUUCGCAGAUUGUAAUGAUCACGUAUGCCACUCAAACAUCGCCUCCACCAAGUGCUCAUGUAUAGUAGCUGCGGCUGAAUGGAAGUACAGGUAGUCGAAGGUGUUAUAUGUUCUGUACAACAGAAGGAUUGAGCCUAAUCGGUGAUUCAGAGUGGGUGCUACGCUGCCAGUAUAUACACGAUCUAUAAGUUCCGUUUGAAAUGUAUUCUUUGACUUCUGAAUACGUCUGAAUCAGGGCAGUUGUGACCAGUUUUCAGGCUUUUGCAUCGAUAGUUUGACCUGUUUGCAAGCUAGUGCAAGGUCUUUACCAAACCAGUGGUGCUGUUUACCGUAUUCUGUCGAUUGUUAGUCAUUUGCAAUGCUUUUGAAAGAACCCAUUCCAACCAUGAGGUUGGUCUGGACCUGCAAUACUUUUGAGGGUGCAUGCUUCAAGAGGUGCAACUGAUCCAACUAUUCAUGUUCCUUCACAACGUGCCUAGCCUCCUAUCUUCUGGCACCACUUUCAAUCCUUCUAGUUCACAGACAGCUCUAGAUGACUGGGGUUUAUGAUCAACAUACAGUGAAUGUGGAUUUAGAGUCUCUCUAACCAUGGGAUUUUACAGUUUGCAAACUGAUUUGCAUUAAUGGGUAAGGACAUCAAAUUGACUUGAAGGUAAGACAAGUGAUCUACACAUUUGCGUUGAACAAAUGCAACUUUUUGUGCAGUUGAACGUGGGUUCCCCUCGGAAAAAAGAAAAUUCGGCUUGAACCAGUUGACGAGUGCGAUUUGAAAGAUUAUUUAGUCAGGACCAAUGAACCUAAUAUUAGAUUUAAGGUUAUAAAAGGAAAUUUAUUAUGGUUGAUCUCAGCCAGAAAACCAAGGAAGGUGUGCUAAAUCUAACUUUACCCGAACCCCUUAUCCCUCCUCAACCCCCACGAUGUUCAACAAUGUGAAAAUUCAACUUAAUCUCCUGACCCCAGCGAUCAUGGCACGAUAAGCAAAAUUUUUGCGUUUCCAACCUAGACUCCGAAUUAGCAUAGCUCUCCGUAGUUCACCGAGGAGCUGAAGCACUACUGUGAAAGUGGAAUUCGCUAUAUUCAUCGAAUGCCCGCUCGAAAUGCAAUUGCCUGCUCUCUCUGUGAAUAGUGAACUCAGUAGUUUGCUAACAAUUGUAGACUUGUUGCACUGUUGAAGAAUCUAGCGUUACCUUUAUUACAGUGGAGUGCAUAUGAGUGUAUAAAUCUCAAGACCCCUUGGAUCUUUUGUUUUCUGUGUUGAUCAUAUCUGAAGAUGAUACCUUAGUUGCUGUGAUAUAAUAGAUAAAAGGGAAAAUAUCAUACAUGCCCCUAAAAUAUAUUGAAAUAUCAAGUAUAGCCAUGUAUUCUUGAUAAUAGCAAAUCUACCCCACUUUUCUCUUAAUAUACCCUUGAACUUGAUAACUUAUCACAACUUUUCUUUUUAUCCCAACCUGCUUGCCGCGGAGAAAUCUGCAGGUCUUCUUCCGCACUUUUUAGGCAGUAAUGAUGGAGGGUUAGGAGCUUCAACACAACCCUGUCAAUGUCGGCAAUUCCGAUGGGGCCUCCUCCUCCUUAGGGCGGGCGGAAGCCUGUUGCCCAGCUAUGCCACCCCCUCGCAAUAUGCAGGUCCUCCUGCUCCUCCGAAGUUUAGUAGCCCUCGUCCAUUACAACCUGAGUACGAUAUGCAGCCGAUGGCAUGGUUAACUUUCACUGAUGGGAUUAUGAAUUAGAGAGAUAACUAGUAGCAGCACCGUGGGGCAAACUGCACAAUCGAAGUUUCUCAUGAAUCCCCUCCUUUUUUUCUUGUGUGCUUACUGCGUAUGAAAUUUCCGAAAGUGCUCACAUGCACAGCUUCGAUUAACACAGACUUCAGUGAUGACUUCAGUGAUGACUUCAGUGAUGUUUCACCCAGUGAUGACUUCAGUGAUGUUUCACCCAGUGAAGAUCCUGCUUGCCAGGAGCCUGACGCUGCAAAGGCCAAAGUCAAAGAAGCUUGUCCACCACAGAAGAAUGCGCUUCGACCGGAGAUAAAGUGCAAGGAGUUUUUAUGCUCACAGUGCGGCCGCAAAGAAAAGAGGGUUGAAGUCCAAGAUCAGCAACGGCCAUCAACGAGGUCGGUGAUUUCCAAAGGCAACCCCAUGUCAGCUUACUUCCACAACAUGGAUGGUUCCAAACGGGCCCUGAUUGCAGACAUAGUGGUGGUCCUGUUGCGCAAGUAUGGCAACCGCAAGAGACUUCGAGUGGCGGGAUUCUCUCCCGGGCGGAAGGAGUCCCACAACCAGGUCGCCCUGUCUGCGAAUGAGCUCGACAGGCUGCGGAGCAUGAUUUGCCCCAAGAAAGCGGUGACUUCGAUUAACACAGACUUCAGUGAUGACUUCAGUGAUGUUUCACUGCUGCCCGUUUGUGCCCCUCUGCUUCGAGUGCGGCACUCGCCAGAACCCCUGCCACUGCCGGAUUCUGGGCCCAACUGUAGGAGUUGUUGCCUUAGCUGAGGCUGCAGUGGUAGAGUGGCCCGUUGGUGCAUUUGUUUACUGCUUCCAGCUUUUGAAGGGACGGCGAAUCUUUGCUCAUCCCGCUGCUGUUGUCUACCCCCGUGUUUCCGCCUGCUUCCCAAUCUCAGUUCAAUUUCCUGCUCUCGAGUUUGGAGACAUUCGUGGACUGUAUUUUGUACAUUUCGUCCUGAGAUACUGACGGAAAUUCGGUGAAUGGGGAGCUAACGGAAACUCUGCGAAAUUGGAAGGCACUCUGGGCGGCUGCACAUCCUACGCAGGUUGUAAUGGCCAAGGAGAGCUACUGAACUUCGGAGGAGCAGGAGGACCUGCAUAUUGUGAGGGCGUGGCAAAGCUGGGCAAUAGGCUUCCGCCCACCUGAAGCAAGAGGAGGCCCCAUCGGAAUGGCCGGCAUUGACAGGGCUGUGUUGAAGCUCCUAACCCUCCAUCAUUAUUGCUUAAAAGUGCGGAAGAAGGCCCGCAAAUUUCUCUACUGCAAGCAGGUUGGGCCCAGAUGCACAUAAAAAAGAAAAAUUGUAAUAAGUUAUCAAGUUCAAGGGUACAUUUGAUAUUAUGAGAAAAGUGGGGUAGAUUUGUUAUUACCAAGAAUACAGGGAUAUUCUUGAUAUUUCAACAUAUUUCAGGGGAAUGUAUCAUAAUUUCCCUAAAUAAAAUACAGAAUUAGGAGAUUCUGACA